GCCCCACAGAGAUGAGCCAAGCCUCGGUGUAAGAAAGGUGCGUCUUGCUCUGGUGUGAUGGAGCCCAUCACCGAUGCUGAGCAGCUGGCAGGCCAAUGGCCUCCAGGAAGGAUGUGCCUAGUCAAGCCCAGCGCCUCCUCGGAGGAUAAACACUCUGCUGUUACAGGGGCCAGUGGUAAGGAACUCUGGAAGCCCAAGCGGGAUGCUGGAUACCAGGACGCCAAUGGGGAGAGAGCUUCUGCAGUUGCUGAGAAGAUGAUAAAUAUCUGGCGAACUGUGGCAUCCUGAAGGUGAACCAUUGCUUCUUGCUGUUCAUUCGAGCCUUCCUCUUGGAGACUGGAGUCCUGUCUAUGAAGUGAUUUUCUGCAGGGUCAGUCCUCUACAUCAGACACAAGCCCACCUAUAGAUAGACCUUUUACCACCAGAUGGAGAACACAUAUCCUAGAAGUGUUAACCCAUUAGGCAUUGAGAACAA
rnacentral:lncRNA from 1 species